CCUACGGGAGGCAGCAGCAAGGAAUCUUCCGCAAUGGGCGAAAGCCUGACGGAGCAACGCCGCGUGUGGGAUGACGCCUUUCGGGGUGUAAACCACUUUUCUCGGGGAAGAAGCACUGACGGUACCUGAGGAAGAAGGACCGGCUAACUACGUGCCAGCAGCCGCGGUAAUACGUAGGGUCCGAGCGUUGUCCGGAGUUACUGGGCGUAAAGCGCGCGCAGGCGGCGGUGUAAGCAUGGCGUGAAAGCCCCAGGCUUAACCUGGGAGGGUCGUCGUGGACUGCACCGCUUGAGGGCGGUAGGGGCUGGUGGAAUGCCUGGUGUAGUGGUGAAAUGCGUAGAGAUCAGGCGGAACACCCGUGGCGAAGGCGGCCAGCUGGGCCGUCCCUGACGCUGAGGCGCGAAGGCGUGGGGAGCGAACGGGAUUAGAAACCCCUGUAGUCC
rnacentral:rRNA from 1 species